rnacentral:lncRNA from 1 species
UUCCCAGGCUAGGGGUCCACUUGGAGCUGCAGCUGCUGGCCGACGCCACAGCCACAGCAACGCGGCAUCCGAGCCAUGUCCACCACCUCCACCACAGCUCACGGCAACGCUGGAUCCUUAACCCACUGAGUGAGGCCAGGGACCAAACCCACAUCCUCAGGGACACUAGUGGGGUUCACUUCUGCUGUGCCACAAUGGGAACUCCCUAGAAAACUUCUUAAAUUGAAGGAUAGCUCAUUUACAAUGACAUGUUAGUUUCAGGGGCUCAGAAAAGUGCUUCGUAUACAUAUGGAUCUGUGGUGGCUCCAUUCUGCGUUUUCGGAGGAACCUCCAUACUGGUCUCCGUGGUGGUUGUGCCAGUUACAUCCCACCAACAGGGUAGGAGGGUUCCCUUUCCUCCACUCCAGUAGCUGUGGGAAUGCUGGAUCCUUAACCCUCGAGGCCGCAAGGGAGCUCCAAUUGUUUGUACCUUUUAAAUUUUUUGUCUUUCUGCCUUUUCUAGGGCUGCUCCCGCGGCAUAUGGAGGUUCCCAGGCUAGGGAUUGAAUCGGAGCUGUAGCCACCGGCCUGCACCAGAGUCACAGCAAUGCGGGAUCCGAGCCACGUCUGCGACCUACAUCACAGCUCACGGCCACGCCAGAUCCUUAACCCAGGGAGCAAAGCCAGGGAUCGAACCCGCGACCUCAUGGUUCCUAGUCGGAUUCGUUAACCACUGCGCCACGACGGGAACUCCUUUUCUUUUCUUUUGUUCGUUUGUUUGUAGGCUUUUUGAUGAUGGCCAUUCUGAUCGGCGUGAGAGGUACAUCGUUGUGGUUUCGAUGUGCGUUUCUCUAGUAACGAAUGAUGCUGAGCAUCGUUUCACGGGCCUUUUGGCCUCUGUAUGUCUUCUCCAGAGAAGUGUCUCUUUCGGUCUUCGACCCGUUUUUUUCUAUUUUCUUUUCAUUUUUUGGCGGCUCCACAGCAUAUGGAGCUCCCAGGCCAGGGAUCAGAUCUGAGCUGUAGCUGCCACCUAUGCCACAGCUUCGGCAAAGCUGGAUCCUUAACGUACUGUGCUGGGCCAGGGAUUAAACCUGUACGAAUUCUGUUGCAACACAGCGGGAGCUCCCUCCUGCCCAUUGUUUAAAUUGGGUUGUUUUUCAUAAUGAGUCGUAUGAGCUAUCUGCAUAUUUUGGAGAUUAACCCCCUGUAUGUCAUGUCAUUUGCAAUAUUUUCUCCUGUCCUGUCGGUUGCCGUCUGGUUUUGUUUAUGGUUUCCUUUGCUGUGUGAAGCUUUUAAGUUUAACUAGGUCCAUUGUGUUCUGCCUGUUUUCCUCGAGGAGUUUUAGAGUAUCCAGUCUUAAAUUUAGGUCCUUAAUCCAUUUUGCGUUUAUUUUUGUGUCUGGUGUUUAAAAAUGUUCUAAUUUGAUUCUUUCACAUGUAGCUGUCCAGUUUUCCCAGCAGCAUUUCCUGAAGAGACUGUCUUUUUUCCACUAUAAAUUCUUGCCUCCUUUGUCCUGGACCAAUUGGCCUUAGGAGCAUGGGCUUAUUUCUGGGUUUUCCAUCCUGUUCCAUUGAUCUAUGUGCCCGUUUUGGUGCCAGUACCAUGCUGUUUUGAUGACUGUAGCUUUGUGGUAUAGUCUGAGUCGAGGAGGCUAGCUAGGUUCCCCAGCUCCAUCCUUCCUUUUCAAGAUUGCUUUGACUCUUUGGUGUCUUUUCCAUACAAACUUAAAAUUUUUUUUUGUUCUAAUUCUGUGAAAAUGCCAUUGGUAAUUUGAUAGAAUCUGUAGAUUGCCUUUGGUAGCACAGUCAUUUUGACAAUAUUGAUUCUUCCAGUCUGAGAGAGUGGUUUAUCUUUGUGUUAUCUUUGAUGUUUUUCAACCACCUGUUAGUUUUUAGGAAGUAGGUCAUUUGCCUUCUUAGGUAGGUUUGUUCCUAAGGGCUUUUUUUUUUUUUUGCUGUUUAGGGCCGCACCUGCAGCAUAUGGAGGUUCCCAGGCGAGGGGUCUAAUCAGAGCUACAGCUGCCAGCCACAGCCACAGCCACGGCAACACCGGAUCUGAGUCUGUGACCUAUACCACAGCUCAUGGCAGGCAACAAUGGAUCUUUAACCCACUGAACGAGGUCAGGAUCAAACCCGCAACCUCAUGUUUCCUAGUCAGAUUCAUUUUUCGUUUCCAGUGUGCCACAACGGGAACUCCCUAAGUAUUUUUUUUUUUUUAUGCAAUGGUAAAUGGAUUAUUUCCUUGAUUUUUUUUUCCUGAUCUUUCAUUGUUAGUGUAUAGAAAUGUACCAGAUUUCUCUGUAUUAAUUUUGCAUUCUAUGACUUCACCAAAUUAACUGAUGAGCUGUAGUAGUUUUCUGAUAGCAUCUUUAGGAUUUUCUAUGGGUAGUACCAUGUUAUCUGCAAACAGUGACAGUUUUACUUUUCCAAUUUGGAUUCCUUUUAUUUUUCUUCUUGGGUUUUUGUGGCUAGGUCUUCCAGAACUAUGUUGAAUUAAAGUGGCAAGAAUGGACAUAUCUGUCUUGUUCCUGAUCUUGGAUAAAUGCUUUCAGCUCUUCAUUGUUAAGUAUGAUAGUACUGUGUGUGUGUCACAUACACGACCUUUAUUAUGUUAAGGUAGGUUCCCUCCAUGCCCACUUUCUGGAGGUUUGUUUUGUUGUUGUUGUUGUUUGUUUUUUAGGGCUGCCCCCACGGCAUAUGGAGGUUCCCAGGCUAGGGGGUGAAUUGGAGAUGGAGCCACCGGCCUACACCGCAGCCACGGCCACACCAGACCCGAGCCGUGUCGGCAACACACGACCCUUAACCCACUGAGCGAGGCGGAGGAUGGAACCUGCGUCCUCAUGGGUGCUAGUUGAUUCAGAGAUGCGACUCGAGGGCUCGCCUCCAUGGGCGCUUCUUCUCAAUACAGCGGUGUCCCCACAGCUGUGGCUGCUCGCGGUGUCCUCGAAAAGCUUUUUACGAAAUUACUUCCCGCGGCCUCACCAGUUCUUGGGGAGAGUUGGCCUAAAACCAGCUGCUACCUUAUGGUUGGAAGGGUAGGGAAGGGAAUUUUAAUUUUAAAUGACAUCCAACGUUUUAAUCACAGACAACAGGAUUUGCUCAUGGGGAUGGGAUGGGCCCUGACACUCAAACAAAGGCUCCUGUAUCAUGACAGUGACCAGAGAGGUUAAGCGGACCGCCGGAGACGUCAUCGAGCUGCCGGGCAGUGAACGGCUGGCGACCGGGGUCUGAAGGGGGCGUUAAGGCGGGAGGAGCUGAGAAGACACACACCUGCCACCGUAUGCGCGGUGCCCUCGGCCCGUGCCGCUGUGCGCCAGUGCCAGCCCCGAGGAGCGUCCCAGUGCUGCCAACGGCGAGCCCCGGGCUUCUUCCCGCAGGCCCACCGCUCCCGGCUCCGUGGCACCUGGUUUUGGCUGAACAUCCCCAACCCCGUGAGCACCCCACUGCCCCAGGAGGCCCGUGCCCUUGGCCGACUGGAACCACCCCCCCUCACCACCUGAGGCUGGGCUCCCCGACAGGCAAACAGCAGCCCGAGGCCACCACCAGUUUAACAACACAACAGGGCAGGCGUGCGGCAGGCUGGCAGGCGUGCUCUGCAAAGGGCCGCAGGUGACCUGCCCGGCUGCCGGGCCCGUGGGCUCUGUCCCAGGGACUCAGUGCUAUACCCCUGCCAGACAGGCGGCUGCAAGUACGCCUGCACUGCCCCCGAGGCACCUGGGGUGAAGGAGACAAUUCCAAGGCUGAGCGAGUGUGCUCUCUGUACGAGUCGGCCCCCGAGAGCAGGACGAUUUUAUUGCCCUCAGAAGAAAGAGGCAGUGUUCGCCAGCAGUAGAAAAUUGCAAAUAAAAAGUUUAAUUUCAGAAACUGAGUUCACCAUUUAUAAAUACACUAAAACAUAGUCAAUGCAAAUCCAGAUUAAUGGUAGGUACAGUAUUUUAACAGAAGGACGACUUCUCUAAAAGUCGUAGGCAAGUGAGAGACCUGUUUCAUCCAGAACAUUUAACUGGCUGGAAAUAAGGAAACGAACCUUUCCUAGAUGUUGAGGCAGAAACUUCGAAGACGUAGUAUUGUUAGGAGAACCUGGUGACUGAUACUGCGUCCCGAUGUCCUGGGUUCUGACACCCGCUGAUGGCUGCAUCUUCCCUGUGAAACAAAAAAGAAAUUCGAACCCCCUAAGGCUAGUCUUACAACCGCAACACGACAAUCGCUUUCCCCGUUAAUAAGCCGCCGCCGCCGCUUCUACAGAGAAGUUUACACAGAAGGUGAUCAAACUGGAGGUCAGUGCACACGUUUCCAGCUGGCUUCACGGCGUGGAGCCACCAGGGAGGGCUUGGAGAGGGGUCAUCGACGGGAUGCUGUAAACGGGUGUGCUGAGCACCGGCCACACGGCGGGCACCGCGGGCACCGCCCGUAAACAGCUGGGAUGUGUCCGGGGCAUCCGAGGGAACACCUGAAAUGGGCGCACGCCCCCGAGUCGCGCAGGACCGGUAGCGUGACGUGCGAGGGAAGGCUUGUCUUCAACGCCACGUCUCCGCUGCAGUGACAGUCACCUCCCAGAUGGCGCUCUGGACUCGAGGCGCGUCAGAGCUGCAGCCGGGAAGGGCGCGGGCAGGAUGGCUUGAACUCCGCCUCCUAUUUACAGAUUGGACUCGACGGCCACAAAAGCUGCUUUGUUGCAAUUAAAGCAAUGUUAAACG